rnacentral:misc_RNA from 1 species
AAGUCGUAACAAGGUUUCCGUAGGUGAACCUGCGGAAGGAUCAUUACCGAUUUUAGCGGACCUGAUCUUUUGAUCAUGGUCUCGCAAAAACUUGUAUUUAAAACCCCACUCUUAUAAAUUGAAUCAUUUUAUAUGUAUAUAAUAAAUAAAGAUCACUUUCAACAACGGAUCUCUUGGCUCUC